rnacentral:rRNA from 1 species
CCUACGGGAGGCAGCAGUGGGGAAUAUUGCACAAUGGGGGAAACCCUGAUGCAGCGACGCCGCGUGAGUGAGGAAGGAUUUCGGUAUGUAAAGCUCUAUCAGCAGGGAAGAAAAUGACGGUGCCUGACUAAGAAGCCCCGGCUAACUACGUGCCAGCAGCCGCGGGAAUACGUAGGGGGCAAGCGUUAUCCGGAUUUACUGGGUGUAAAGGGAGAGUAGACGGCUAAACAAGUCAGAAGUGAAAACCCAGGGCUCAACCUUGGGACUGCUUUUGAAACUGAGUAGCUUGAGUGCAGGAGAGGUAAGCGGAAUUCCGAGUGUAGCGGUGAAAUGCGUAGAUAUUAGGAGGAACACCAGUGGCGAAGGCGGCUUACUGGACUGUAACUGACGUUGAGGCUCGAAAGCGUGGGGAGCAAACAGGAUUAGAUACCCCUGUAGUC